GACGAACGCUGGCGGCGUGCUUAACACAUGCAAGUCGAACGGUGAACCUCUUCGGAGGGGAUCAGUGGCGAACGGGUGAGUAACACGUGGGCAACCUGCCCCCGGCUCUGGGAUAACUCCAAGAAAUUGGGGCUAAUACCGGAUGUUCACCGCUUCCCGCAUGGGUGGUGGUGGAAAGGGUUUCCGGCUGGGGAUGGGCCCGCGGCCUAUCAGCUUGUUGGUGGGGUAGUGGCCUACCAAGGCGACGACGGGUAGCCGGCCUGAGAGGGUGACCGGCCACAGUGGGACUGAGCAGGGGCCAGGACUCCUCCGGGAGGCAGCGGUGGGAAUUGUGGCGCACGGGGCGGAAGCCGGACGCAAGGCCGCCGCGUGGGGAAAGACGGCUUUCGGUUUGUAACCCUUUUCCAGCGGGGACGAAGGGCAAUUGACGGUACCUGAAAAAAAAGCCCCGGCCAACUACGUG
rnacentral:rRNA from 1 species